rnacentral:misc_RNA from 1 species
CAUUAUUGAAAUAAACCUGAUGAGUUGCUGCUGGUUCUCUAGGGAGCAUGUGCACACUUGUCAUCUUUAUAUCUCCACCUGUGAACCUUUUGUGGACCUGGAUAUCUCUCUGAAUGCCUGACGGAUUCAGGUUUGAGGAUUGAUUUUUUUCUUUCCUUGUGUUUUCAGGUCUAUGUUUUUCAUAUACCCCCAUGUAUGUUUAUAGAAUGUAAUGAACAGGCCUUUGUGCCUAUAAAUUUAUACAACUUUCAGCAACGGAUCUCUUGGCUCUCGCAUCGAUGAAGAACGCAGCGAAAUGCGAUAAGUAAUGUGAAUUGCAGAAUUCAGUGAAUCAUCGAAUCUUUGAACGCACCUUGCGCUCCUUGGUAUUCCGAGGAGCAUGCCUGUUUGAGUGUCAUUAAUAUAUCAACCCUCUUCGGCUUUUUGCAUGACGAGUGUUGGAUGUGGGGGUUUUUGCUGGACUCUUUUCUCUUGAGGUCAGCUCUCCUAAAAUACAUUAGCAAAACAAUUUGUUUACUGCUCAUUGGUGUGAUAACUAUCUACGCUAUUGACGGUAAAGCACAGUUUAGCUUCUAACAGUCCAUUGACUUGGACAACCCUUUAUACAAUGUGACCUCAAAUCAGGUAGGAUUACCCGCUGAACUUAAGCAUAU